ensembl:lncRNA
UGUGUGUGUGUGUGUGUGUGUGUGUGUGUGUGUGUGUGCACUUUACCAGAGGAACCCAAGCGCGCGCAUCUGGCUCUGAGGAACAUCCAUCUGUAUUGAUCUGAUGUGUCAAGAGUUUCAGGCUCAGUGUUCAGGAAGUCACCUCAACUUCAACUUCAAGUUCUGUUUAAAAAUCACUGACAAUGCUGUUGGGAUAGGAAUGUUGGGGCCUGGCCUUGAGACCAAUCCUCUGCAGAUUGCUUUGUUCUUUUUCGCGAAGAACUUAAAUGUGACCAUUCCACAUUCCUGACCCCUGACCUCAUUUCUGAUUUCCGCGUGUGCACUGGUCCUGUCCCCUCUGCAGUUGUGAUUUGUGAACAUGGCAAAGCCCUACAAAUCAACAUGAGGGCUGCCACCAGCCUGAAGAGCUGAUCCAGAGUGGGCAGGAACACGGCAAGAUUACCUCUGAGAAGAAGGUCUCUGAGCCGCUGUCAUGCAACCCAUGAUGCUGUUUUACAGGAUGACACACCCCGUAGUCAUAUACACAUGCCGUCAGGACCAAGUUGCCAGUUAACUGAGGAGGCAGAGAAGGUAAAUUAUAAAUUAAAACAUGGCAUUAAAAUAUUAAAGUGUGCUCAAAAAUAUUACUGCAGUGUAAUACAGGGGACUUCAGUAUUAUCUGCAAAGAGUCAGUCAGUCAAAUUGGAGAAACCUAAUAGCUGUUUGAAGACCAAGAUCAACAGGGGGAAUUGGGUGUAACUCCUGAUCUCAUAUUUAAAAAUUCAAGCAUGUCACGUGACAGAAGAAUAAUGUGUCAUGGUUUCUGUUUCAUGUCUUUUAAAUGUGAGUUUUCAUGUGUCUGAAAAGCUUGUUUAACUAUUUUGAGUAGGCAGGGAGCAAAGUAAGAGUUAUGAUAUGGCACAACCACUAGAGGGAGCUUUUAAAUCAAUUUAAUGACUACAGAGCACUAGACAGAUGCGUGCGUGCGCACACACACACAAAAUCAUGGCUCAUGGCGUUUAAAUACAGAACAAUAUGUAUGAUGAGGUGGUACAGCUUGACUUUUGGAGGUCUGCAUUUUUGUGUGUGGUUGUGUGUGUGUGAGAGAGAGAGAGAGUGAGAAAGAGAGUGAGAGUUCCAUGGACAGCCCUGAUGCAGCUGAAGGUCAAUGAGGUCAUUUAAUCAGUUGCCACAGAAACCUAAAGGCGUUUAGACGUUUUGAAAAUACAAACAUGGCCUUUUCUUCCUAUGUUACGUCUCUGUGUGUGUGUGUGUCCAGGUCUCUAUGACUUAUCAUUUAUCAUUCAUCAUUUAUCGAGGAAACCGCACCCAUUUCA